rnacentral:rRNA from 1 species
UGGGGAAUCUUGCGCAAUGGGCGAAAGCCUGACGCAGCAACGCCGCGUGCGGGAUGAAGGCCUUCGGGUUGUAAACCGCUUUCAGCAGGGAUGAGACUGACAGUACCUGCAGAAGAAGCCCCGGCUAACUACGUGCCAGCAGCCGCGGUAAUACGUAGGGGGCAAGCGUUAUCCGGAUUUAUUGGGCGUAAAGCGCGCGUAGGUGGGUUGUUAAGCGAGAUGUGAAAACCGGGGGCUCAACCCGCGGCCUGCAUCUCGAACUGGCAGCCUUGAGUCUGGUAGAGGGAAGUGGAAUUCCGAGUGUAGCGGUGAAAUGCGCAGAUAUUCGGAAGAACACCAGUGGCGAAGGCGGCUUCCUGGGCCACGACUGACACUGAGGCGCGAAAGCUAGGGGAGCGAA